rnacentral:rRNA from 1 species
UACAGAGGGGGCAAGCGUUGUUCGGAAUUACUGGGCGUAAAGGGCGCGUAGGCGGCCUGCUAAGUCGAACGUGAAAUCCCUGGGCUCAACCCAGGAACUGCGUCCGAUACUGGUUGGCUUGAAUCCGGGAGAGGGAUGUGGAAUUCCAGGUGUAGCGGUGAAAUGCGUAGAUAUCUGGAGGAAUACCGGUGGCGAAGGCGGCAUCCUGGACCGGCAUUGACGCUGAGGAGCGAAAGCCAGGGGAGCAAACGGG